rnacentral:rRNA from 1 species
ACCUGCAGAGUGGCGACGGGGUGAGUACCCCGUGAGUGACCUUGCCCCCGAGGAGGGGGCCACCCAUGGGAAACCAUGGUUAAUACCCGGUAGACCUGGCCUUAUUAGAAAAGGUCAGGUAUAGCUCAGGCGCCUUGGGAGGGGCUCGCGGUCGAUUAGUUUGUUGGUGGGGUAACGGCCUACCAAGAUGACGAUCGAUAGCUGGUCUGAGAGGAUGAUCAGCCACACUGGGACUGAGAUACGGCCCAGACUCCUAUGGGGGGCACCAGCGAGGAAUAUUGGACAAUGGGCGCAAGCCUGAUCCAGCAACGCCGCGUGGAGGAAGAAGGCUUCGGUUGUAAACUCCUUUUGUGCGGGAUGAGACAAGGACAGUACCGCACGAAUAAGUCACGGCUAACUAGGUGCCAGCAGCCGCGGUAAUACCUAGGUGACAAGCGUUAUCCGGAUUUACUGGGCGUAAAGGGCUCGAAGCCGGUAAUUCAAGUCUGGCGUGAAAUCUCCUGGCUUAACCAGGAGGGGUCGUUAGAUACUGUUUUACUGGAGGCAGUGAG